GAUGAACGCUGGCGGCGUGCCUAACACAUGCAAGUCGAGCGAUUCUCUUCGGAGAAGAGCGGCGGACGGGUGAGUAACGCGUGGGUAACCUGCCCUGUACACACGGAUAACAUACCGAAAGGUAUGCUAAUACGAGAUAAUAUACUUUUAUCGCAUGGUAGAAGUAUCAAAGCUUUUGCGGUACAGGAUGGACCCGCGUCUGAUUAGCUAGUUGGUAAGGUAACGGCUUACCAAGGCGACGAUCAGUAGCCGACCUGAGAGGGUGAUCGGCCACAUGGGAACUGAGCAACGGCCCAAACUCCACCGGAAGGAAGCAGGGGGAAAUAUGGCACAAGGGCGGAAAGCGUAAGGCAGCACCGCGGCGUGGGCGAUGAAGGCUUUCGGGUCGUAAAGCUCUUUCCUCAAGAAAGAUAUUGACGGUACUGGAGGAGGAAGCCCGGCCAAACUACGUGCAAGCAGCGCCGUAA
rnacentral:rRNA from 1 species